rnacentral:tmRNA from 1 species
GGGGCUGAUUCUGGAUUCGACGGGAUUUGCGAAACCCAAGGUGCAUGCCGAGGGGCGGUUGGCCUCGUAAAAAGCCGCAAAAAAAUAGUCGCAAACGACGAAACCUACGCUUUAGCAGCUUAAUAACCUGCUUAGAGCCCUCUCUCCCUAGCCUCCGCUCUUAGGACGGGGAUCAAGAGAGGUCAAACCCAAAAGAGAUCGCGUGGAUGCCCUGCCUGGGGUUGAAGCGUUAAAACGAAUCAGGCUAGUCUGGUAGUGGCGUGUCCG